rnacentral:rRNA from 1 species
CAAUAGCGUAUAUUAAAGUUGUUGCAGUUAAAAAGCUCGUAGUUGGGUUUCGGGGUGGCCUGGCUGGUCCGCCGCAAGGUGAGUACUGGUCAGCCGCCCUUCCUCUCGAAAGCCCCGACUGCUCUUUACUGCAGUGGUCGGGUAGUUCGGGACGUUUACUUUGAAAAAAUUAGAGUGUUCAAGGCAGGCUAUCGCCUGAAUACAUUAGCAUGGAAUAAUGGAAGAGGACCUCGGUCCUAUUUUGUUGGUUUCUAGGGCCGAAGUAAUGAUUAAGAGGGACAGUUGGGGGCAUUCGUAUUUAAUUGUCAGAGGUGAAAUUCUUGGAUUUAUGAAAGACGAACUAGUGCGAAAGCAUUUGCCAAGGAUGUUUUCAUUAA